ACUUUGGGCAAGUCUUUAAAUGUGAGUCAGCUUUCGGCUGAUCCCUGGGAAAAAUUCCUUCGGUGUUGUCAGGCAGGGUUCGCUAGCUGUAGCUUUUUUUUUUUUCCGCCCCCAACAAUUCAAAAGGGAUAAUCCUACUGAAUGGGGGAAGGCAUUCGGACCCUGUCCGGGGUCCCCAACCAGAGGCCCCUUUAACUCUGAGGUGGGGCCCCUCCUCGAAGCUGAUUUCUGCAGGGUCAGGACCCUAGCCCUCUUCCCCCCACCGCCCCCAUCGCGUGCCCCAUAGCGACUUCAGCAUUGCACACAAGGGCCAGGGGGCACCCAGGCCUCAGGGGACGCAGCGCCAUAAGACAGCAGGAAGGCUUGCUUCCCAGGGCUGCCUCUUGGCCCUCUCAGAUUCCAGGCUUGGAUCCAGCAUAGGGGUGGUCACUUACCACCUCUCUAAGCUUAGAUUCCUCUUUGGCAAAGCAAAAGACUUAUGCUAGUUUGGUCUUUCCAGCUUGCUUGGGCAAGCCCUUUUUGCAUUCUUGGCCUCAGUUUCCACGGAAGAGGGUCAAGUUGAUGUGGAAGCGUCCCGAAGCAUCCUUCCAGUUCUAUUUGUGCCCCUCGGGAAGCCCACGAGCUUGGGGUUCACACAGCCCGGUUUCUCACUACACAACUGCGGAGAGACGCCACGUGUCAUCUCAGAGACAUCCAGCAGCCGGGUGUGAAGGGGGUGGGGGCCACCAAAAAAAAAAAAAAAAAAGGCUAAAGGCUGAAGGAAAUAAGCAGGCACUUGAGGAUUUACGUGUAAUUUGGUUUUAAAUGAACAUCUUGUGCAGAAGAAGAGGCAAUUUGGCACCUGCUGCUGAUGGAUAGAAAUUGGGUGUCUGCUGCCCAUCAGCUGAGACUGCCACAGAGCACUUGUUUGGUAACAAGGUUUCCAUGUCGGCCUGGGAAUCAGUAUUGUUUCCUUCAUUUCUUCACAUUGGAGCUUGCCCUGCCUUGGCCCCCUCAGCUGGCCACCAUUCCCCACCCCACCCCCAUCUUCAUGUCUCCACCUCAGCUAGCUCCUUCCAACAUCCUCUGAGUCAAAUGGAUUGUGCUGCACCUUGGACAAGCUUGUAGACCUUGGUAAAGAAAAUGAAGCCAAACCAGACGGGACAAUUUCUUUCUCACCCCUUCAGAUCUCCCUGCUUCUGUGAGGCAUUUAUUGAGGUAGGAGGAAAGGAACAAGCUGAAGGAAAGAAAGGGCCAUAAUCACAAAGGAAAGGGUUUUUUUUUUUUUAAUUCCUUCUGCUGGGGAAUUGGUUCAGUUGGACCCCGAGGAGGUCCUCAGCACCCUGGUAAAAAGCUAGCAUUUGUAAUUGCAGCACUAGGGAAGCUGAGACAGGAGGAUGCCCAGAACUUGCUGGCCACCUUGACUAACCAAAUCAAUAAACUCCAGUUCAGUUCCUUGACUCAAAGAAAAAAAAAUGAGAUGGAAGAGAGCAAUCGAGGAAGAUGCCCAACAUCAGUCGACCUUUGACCUCUGCAUUCAUCUACAUGUUUUCAUGCGCACUCACUCUCUUGUCUCUCCCUGUCUCUGUCUCAUUCUCUCUCACACAUGAGCAGGGCCAUGCAGUCAUUUUGUGCUACAUUAAAAAAAAAGAAAGAAAGAAAGAAAGAAAGAAAGAAAGAAAGAAAGAAAGAAAGAAAGAAAGAAAGAAUUCCUGAAGACCAUGGAAACAUAAUGAAGUUUGGUUCUGCUGGGGCGCACAAAACAGCUCUCGGAGGGACCACAUCUGCAAUGCCCCACAAGGAAGGAAAGAGGUUUUCUGUUGCAUGUGUAGGCUAGGAGGAACGACAUGCACAGUAGUCAGGUGCCGGACGUGUCAACAGCUCAGUUGAUUGGCCGAACUGAAGCUGCAUGGGAUGGUUGGUUGUGAUAAAGAUGUUGGAGCUCGUUCCUAGGGAGUGGAGAGCAGCUUGAAUUGUUGGGGGAGAUCAGCAGUGAAGAACAUUGCCUUUCAGACUUCGGGUUUCAGAGUGAGAGUCAUUAACACUGAAAGAUGGAAUAGGUGACCAUAGAAUGGAACAGAAGACCUCAAAGUACAUGCAUGCAUAUGCUUCACAAAAUACAUGUGCUUGUAUGAUUGUGCGUGUUCUAGAUCAUGAUACAAAAUGCAUUUGCUGGAGUCUUGCCUAAAAAUUGUCGGAAGCCUUUGCAUAUCUUUCAGGCUGAAUCAGGAAGGAUGGGUAGAGAGGAAACUAUAGGAGGGUCAUGCAAACAAGGCAGGGGACUUGGUCUCCUCCAGUGUCUGCGGCAGCCCCACACAGCCCUAGAGCGAUCUGUGACACUGUAAGUUAAAUAUGAUAGUCGUUUCCUACUAACCUGGCAGAACAUAAUGCUAUUACUGUGGUCCAAAUGUUAGGGUAGUGUGCUCAUGGACUGCUAAGCAUCAUCCUGAUGGAUAUGGGAGUAGCCAUCCCUGCAGGUUGAGUACAGAGAGCCUUACAUUCAAAGCCCAGAAAAAGGCUAUUGUGUAACCUCUUAUGACCAGUGUUGCCAGUGCCCUAACAGAGUUACCUCUAGGGGAGCUUUAGGGAAAACUGCAGAUACUUCUUGCUCCAAUGCAAACACAACUCUCCUGCUGGCUUCAGAAAAACUGGAGAGUGUCUGGCUACCACCUGCCCAGCCACAUCCCUGGUGAUUUAAAACUGUCUUUAAGAGUUUCCAUUUGCCUUUCCUGGUAGCUUUAAAUGCAACUGAAGCCUGUUUACUUGUCAGGCAUAAGAUGUUUGAUUGGGGUUAGGUAAAGUCCUGGGGGGCUGGGGGGAGUGGCAUGAGUUCCACCAGGGGAAGAUUUCUUACAGUGAAGGAGUGUGUGCAGGUUGAAGAAAGGACAUGGACAAGGUAGAGAAGAGAGAACACUUAGGCUCCAAAGAAAGGCGAUGUGGGACAACAUGGUUCAGAUUGCUUCAUUUGUAAGGUAACUGACACGUUUGAUUCACAUUGAGCACACCCACAUUCUCCUUGCCUAUCUAUGCCCACACCCAGCCCCAUGUAUAUAGUACAGAUAGCUCCCAGUUCAGUUUACAUAACCAGGGGCACAGCCUACAGCUACACCCCCAGAGCAAACAUACCCACGCCUGCUCUUUGGACUCCACGGAAGUAUACAUCCUUCCUAUAGGGGCUGGGAUUUCUCCAGUUCUUUUGAUUUUGACUGGUUCCUUGCCCAUAAGAUAAAGAGCAACUCACACAGUGAAUAACGCUGUGUGGCAAAGCCCUGAGCUAGGCAUCGUGCAGAGUCAACAAAUUCUGAUAAUAUUAUCACUGUUUGUAGCUAAGACCUUGAGACAAGGAUAUGCAUGUCCAAGUUCCUGUAGACUGUGAUGCCACGCUCCAUCUCUAAGACACCCCACUUUCUCCAGUUCCCCUCAGGAGCUGCUUUCCAGGAGAGCUUGGCAUACCAUCUGUGCCUCCUCCCAUUCUGUCUCAUGAACAUCCUGGUCCAUCUACUGCAGAAACCCGGGCUAGAUCUUCCCUUAAGCGUCCCACUCACCAUUUCUGUCUGGACUGGAGAUGUGAGCUGACUCAUUUCUCCAUGCAUUUUUUCGAGACUGUACUUCUUCAGUCACUCAUACAAUGUCAAGUUUUACUACUGUUUCCCCCAGGAGACUCAUUUCUACUUGUUGGGGUGAGGUUGAAGAUUUCAAAUCUGUCUUCCUGCAGAUGUUUCAAGGCAGGCCUGACAGCAUCCUUAAUCCUCUUGUCUCCAGACUGAGCAUGCUCAGUUUGGUAUUUGGGUUGGUACUACCAGUCAUAUUAGUGUCAUUUGUAAGUCACAUGUGAGUGAAGGGCAGAACUGUGAGCAUUGGCUAUUUGCCAACUCAACCCCCUUCAACAUUAGCGAGUUUCAUAUUCAACCUGUGAGCUGAAAACGCUUCCGUUUUACAAAAGGAGAAAAAAAGAAAAAAGAAACUUGUGAGGUGUAGAGCUUAGGCCAAGGUUAGAAUGAGCAGAAAUGGUACAUUAACCUUUUAUCAGACAGACAUAUUCUGUUCUCCUGGAAUGUCACCAGGGCGUUGACAAUAGUGAACCUAAGGUACAGGCAUGUCAUCUCUAAUAAAACAUGAUUUUAUCUCUA